AUUGAACGCUGGCGGCAGGCCUAACACAUGCAAGUCGAGCGGCAGCGGGAAAGUAGCUUGCUACUUUUGCCGGCGAGCGGCGGACGGGUGAGUAAUGCCUGGGGAUCUGCCCAGUCGAGGGGGAUAACUACUGGAAACGGUAGCUAAUACCGUAUACGCCCUACGGGGGAAAGCAGGGGACCUUCGGGCCUUGCGCGAUUGGAUGAACCCAGGUGGGAUUAGCUAGUUGGUGAGGUAAUGGCUCACCAAGGCGACGAUCCCUAGCUGGGCUGAGAGGAUGAUCAGCCACACUGGACCGGAGACACGGUCCAGACUCCUACGGGAGGCAGCAGUGGGGAAUAUUGCACAAUGGGGGAAACCCUGAUGCAGCCAUGCCGCGUGUGUGAAGAAGGCCUUCGGGUUGUAAAGCACUUUCAGCGAGGAGGAAAGGUUGGUAGCUAAUAACUGCCAGCUGUGACGUUACUCGCAGAAGAAGCACCGGCUAACUCCGUGCCAGCAGCCGCCGUAACAC
rnacentral:rRNA from 1 species